GACGAACGCUGGCGGCGUGCUUAACACAUGCCAGUCGAACGGAAAGGCCCUGCUUGCAGGGUACUCGAGUGGCGAACGGGUGAGUAACACGUGGGUGAUCUGCCCUGCACUUCGGGAUAAGCCUGGGAAACUGGGUCUAAUACCGGAUAGGAGCCAUUUUUAGUGUGAUGGUUGGAAAGUUUUUUCGGUGUAGGAUGAGCUCGCGGCCUAUCAGCUUGUUGGUGGGGUAAUGGCCUACCAAGGCGGCGACGGGUAGCCGGCCUGGGAGGGUGGACGGCCACAUUGGGACUGGGAUACGGCCCAGACUCCUACGGGGGGCAGCAGGGGGGAAUAUUGCACAAUGGGCGCAAGCCUGAUGCAGCGACGCCGCGUGGGGGAUGACGGCCUUCGGGUUGGAAACUCCUUUCGCUAGGGACGAAGCUUUUUGUGACGGUACCUAGAUAAGAAGCACCGGCUAACUACGUG
rnacentral:rRNA from 1 species